rnacentral:rRNA from 1 species
UAUUGCACAAUGGGGGAAACCCUGAUGCAGCGACGCCGCGUGAGUGAAGAAGUAUUUCGGUAUGUAAAGCUCUAUCAGCAGGGAAGAAGAAAGACGGUACCUGACUAAGAAGCCCCGGCUAACUACGUGACAGCCGCCGCGGUAAUACGUAGGGGGCAAGCGUUAUCCGGAUUUACUGGGUGUACAGGGAGCGUAGACGGCUGUGCAAGUCUGAAGUGAAAGCCCAGGGCUCAACCCUGGGACUGCUUUGGAAACUGUGGAGCUAGAGUGCUGGAGAGGUAAGUGGAAUUCCUAGUGUAGCGGUGAAAUGCGUAGAUAUUAGGAGGAACACCAGUGGCGAAGGCGGCUUACUGGACUGUAACUGACGUUGAGGCUCGAAAGCGUGGGGAGCAAACAGGA